CCCACAUCUGACCAUCGGGGCUUAAGACCUCAGCAACACCUCGUCAAUCACAUCAGGAAGGAAAACAGCCCUGAAAUAUUGAAACGCGUCCCCACCCAGGCCUGCACUGGGGAAUGCACUCGGCUUGACGGCGCUGGGAAAACAGAAAGGCGGAGAGCACCAGAUUUGGGCCUGGGGAUCUCGGGCCAAGACCGACUUUCAUUUCUUCGCUUCUUGGCAGCUGCCCGAGCUGCUGUUUAGGGGACCCCAGCCCCACUCCCAGUGGUUCAUCAGAGCAUGUCCUGGCCCUCGGUGGCCUUUGAAGGCCUUGGCGCUCCACGAUCCGCACUGAGGGACAGUGCCCCACAAACCGCUCAUGCCUCAGCCCCCCAUUCCUGCAAGCAACCCCCGGGCCUCCCGGGGUGCUCUGUCCACAGUGGGCAGUGCCGUGCUGGAGACCGAGCACAGGGAUGGGGACUCCUGCUGUCCUGUCCAGGGGCCCAGACCUGCCUGAGCCACCAGGAGGAGGAGAGAGGUUUCCCUAUGCGUGAAAUCGCUGCCUGCAGGUCCUUAAACCCCAGGAAGGGACAGCUCGGUCCUGUGGCCAGCGUUCAGCUUCUCAGCUGGGCCCCUUGCUGGGUCUUGGGACAGGCAGCGAUUUCCAUAUCGGUUAGGAAUGGCCCCGGUGCGGCUUCCGUUCGGGACUCUAGUCUUGCCGUUGACCCUAAUCGCAUACUCAUUCUAAAACAAAACGGAACGAAACAAAAACUGAACCAAAUUUGAAUGCAAUGGCAAUGGACGGGCAGGUGGGUCCUGCGCACACGUUCACCUAGGUGCACACGUACUUCCCGUUACCGAGCGCACACACACGCUCUCUCGAUCACACGUGUGCUGGUGCUGCGCCCCGCCGCCCGCGCUCUGAAGAGGAACUGCAAGGGUGCGUGAGAGGCGUGCGGGGCUUGUGGAGCUGCCUCUGCUCUCAGCUGAACUGUACUCGUGGAAACUCAAGCUGCCUUUGUUUAUUGUAUUUUUUUUUUCCAAAAGUGGUCAUUUGGAUCAGUGACAGAAAAGGAUAAAACAAACAAACAAGAAAUGGAAUGGAAAAAGGAACUCUUCUCAGAAUAAUGCAAGAAUGUCUUCAUCACAGUAUCACUCGAUGCUACAGAGUUCAUGGCUCCUGAUACCCGGCUGGCUCCGAGGCUCCGAGGCCCCGAGCUGUGCCCCAGCAUCCCAGCGAGGGUGCCCGUGCUGAGCUUGGCUCCCUGUGCCCCACCCGGCAGCAGUGCGGGGCGACUCCUUCUCUCCCCACCCUGAAUAGCACAGUGAAUACAGCUCAGUAGAUUUCAGUCGCUUGGGCAGGGGACAGGGGAUGGGGCCGCAAUCCAGUGCUUCGUGGCUUCGCAUCAGAACACGUGAUAUGUACUUAGCGAGUGCUUUGCGAUCACUCCUGAGAGGCCUCAGGCAGAGGAAGCCACGCAUGGCCCUGAGUUGGCAAGGCUGGACCUGGGCCCACGGCUUGGGUCCACCAGUGCCUGACGAACCAGCUGCAUUCUGGGCCUUGGGAAGGAGGCCCUGCCUGCCCGCCUGUCCACUGCUACACACCCCCAGGGUGUGCACAGGCACCUGCGGGGUGCCACAUGUCCU
ensembl:lncRNA